GCACGCGCGUGAGGGAUGUCGCGGGGGACAUCCUGAAGUUCUUGAAAAAGAAGAAACCUGAAGAUGCCUUCUGUGUUGUGGGAAUAACAAUGAUUGAUCUUUACCCAAGAGACUUGUGGAAUUUUGUCUUUGGACAGGCCUCUUUGACAGAUGGUAUUCCGUUUUUGGCAUUGUUGUUAGAAGCUUCUUCAACUUGAGAAUAUUUGAAGAUGUUAAAAGAGGGAAAAAAAUUCCAACCAAGAAUCAUAUUGAUAUUUAAAACUAUAGUAUUUUCAGUUGAGACAUUAUGCCAUAAUGGGAAGUGUGCUGUUGGUAGAUUGUGAUAAUCUAGGUUCUGGUUGGCCACUCACUACCUACAGGACCUUAAAGGCACUGGUGAGGUGGAUUGAUGAUGAAUCUUCUGGCACACCUGGAGCAACUCCAGAACACAGUCGUGAGGAUAAUGGGAAUUUACUGAAACCCGUGGAAGGAAGCCUUUAAGGAAUGGAAAGAGUGGAUAAUAAAAUGCCUGACUGUUCUCCAAAAAUAAGGACCUUCAAAUAGGAGUGAUUGAAAUAAAUGACUACUUGCAUGUUAUGCUUUCAUUUGGGUGGAAUACUUCAUCAGAAUAAACUAUUGAUCUUGUGCUGUGUCAAAGUAACAGACUAGAACCUUCUUUCAAGUACCUGAAUUGAAAUGAAACUCAUUUUGAAUAAUAAAAACUCUAGAAACUCUU
ensembl:lncRNA AMZ2P1 AMZ2 pseudogene 1